CUGCUAUACACCACAGGAGAAGGAGGCUUGGAAUAGGAGAGCUUGAUUCCCAAUAAACAGCUGCUCUGCAACUGGAUCAUUGCUAAACAUGGAGCACUACAGAGGACACCUAUUGAUGCCAGGCCUUUCAAAGGUUGCACAGCUGAGGAGCUUUGCCUCAUAAGAAAUGAAAGUUCAGGUGGUGAAAGGAAGGAGAUGGACACAGGAAUAUGAGACCUACUUGAGCAAAGACUUGUGUAAGGCUUGGACGCUGCUGCCCUGAGCCAGACUGGACCUGACAGUGCUGGAGGGCACAUUGCUCUGAGCUGUGUCAGCUGCUGUAGAGGAUGCAGCUUCUGUAAGCAGGAAUCUCCGCUCCCAGAGCAAGCAUCUAGUCUGCAGCCCAGGUCAGCUGUGGUUUGGUCUUCAGCAGAAGAUGGGGAAGAGAAAGGAAAGUAGAAGCACCUCUUAGGUGCCCCUUGUCUCUCUGUCUUUGUUCAGUGCCUAACCCAGACCAAACCCCAAGUGCUUCAGUGCAGACUGAUUGUCUCCUCCUUCAUACUCCCUUGUUAAAGUGCAAAUGAACAUGACUAAAACAUCAGGGUGCUGCAGCCUGGUUUGUGCCCAGGGUCCUAGAGAA